rnacentral:rRNA from 1 species
CAAUGGCGUAUAUUUAAGUUGUUGCAGUUAAAAAGCUCGUAGUCGGAUUUUGGCUGAGAACGAUCGGUCCGCCGUUAGGUGUGCACUGAUUGGUCUCAGCUUCCUGGUGAGGAGGUGUGCUUCACGGCCACUUAGUCACCGUGGUUACUUUGAAAAAAUUAGAGUGUUCAAAGCGGGCUUACGCUUGAAUAUAUUAGCAUGGAAUAACACCAUAGGACUCCUGUCCUAUUUCGUUGGUCUCGGGACGGGAGUAAUGAUUAAGAGGAACAGUUGGGGGCAUUCGUAUUUCAUUGUCAGAGGUGAAAUUCUUGGAUUUAUGAAAGACGAACUUCUGCGAAAGCAUUUGCCAAGGAUGUUUUCAUUGA